rnacentral:rRNA from 1 species
AUUGAACGCUGGCGGCAGGCUUAACACAUGCAAGUCGAGCGGAGAUGAGGUGCUUGCACCUUAUCUUAGCGGCGGACGGGUGAGUAAUGCUUAGGAAUCUGCCUAUUAGUGGGGGACGACAUUCCGAAAGGAAUGCUAAUACCGAAUACGUCCUACGGGAGGAAGCAGGGGAUCUUCGGACCUUGCGCUAAUAGAUGAGCCUAAGUCGGAUUAGCUAGUUGGUGGGGUAAAGGCCUACCAAGGCGACGAUCUGUAGCGGGUCUGAGAGGAUGAUCCGCCACACUGGGACUGAGACACGGCCCAGACUCCUACGGGAGGCAGCAGUGGGGAAUAUUGGACAAUGGGGGAAACCCUGAUCCAGCCAUGCCGCGUGUGUGAAGAAGGCCUUAUGGUUGUAAAGCACUUUAAGCGAGGAGGAGGCUACUGAGACUAAUACUCUUGGAUAGUGGACGUUACUCGCAGAAUAAGCACCGGCUAACUCUGUGCCAGCAGCCGCAGUAACAC